rnacentral:rRNA from 1 species
UACGAAGGGGGCUAGCGUUGCUCGGAAUUACUGGGCGUAAAGCGCACGUAGGCGGAUUGUUAAGUCGGGGGUGAAAUCCUGGAGCUCAACUCCAGAACUGCCUUCGAUACUGGCGAUCUCGAGUUCGGGAGAGGUGAGUGGAACUGCGAGUGUAGAGGUGAAAUUCGUAGAAUAUUCGCAAGAACACCAGUGGCGAAAGGCGGCUCACUGGCCCGAUACUGACGCUGAGGUGCGAAAGCGGUGGGGAGCAAAACAGG